rnacentral:snoRNA from 1 species
UGAUGAAAUUUCUCCGGAAUCGCUGUACCACCUUGAUGAGUCACUCGAACCCUUGGUGGCUGAUGACUGGAGCGUCCGGC